rnacentral:tRNA from 8 species
GCGGCUGUAGCUUAGUUGGUUAAAGCGCCGUCCUGUCACGACGGAGACCGCCGGUUCAAAUCCGGUCAGCCGCG